CACGUAGGGUGCGAGCGUUGUCCGGAAUUAUUGGGCGUAAAGAGCUCGUAGGCGGUGUGUCGCGUCGGCCGUGAAAACCUGCAGCUUAACUGUGGGCUUGCGGUCGAUACGGGCAUCACUGGAGUUCGGCAGGGGAGACUGGAAUUCCUGGUGUAGCGGUGAAAUGCGUAGAUAUCUGGAGGAACACCGGUGGCGAAGGCGGCAUCCUGGACCGGCAUUGACGCUGAACAGGCGAAAGCCAGGGGAGCAAACGGG
rnacentral:rRNA from 1 species